GCAGUCAUUACAGAAAUGGCACUGCAGGCAUUGACUUCCGUUCCUAGGCAGACGCAGGAGUUUGAGUUAGCAGAUGACAAGGGUGAAUCAAAAGGUAAUGGACCGAGAGAAUGAAGAGCUUUACCUGCUUAUAGCAAAACCAGAUGUGUAUGGAUUUAAUGGUAUCAUCAACAGGAGUUGCUCUGAACAGAAAUUCAAGAUAUCCCCAGAUACUCAAAAACGUGCAAUAAAUGAAACAAAUGACGUGCUGUGAAGAGGUGGCUGUUCUGUGUGCACAGCUCUUGGUCUGAACCCCUGGCCAGAUGCUAUGGGUGAGCUUUGGGCAGGAGGUCAGGUGAGAGACCUCUGGAGAUCCCUUCUGCAGUCUCCUAUCCUCUGGCAUUUGAAUUGCUGUGCAGGUGACAAUUUUACAAGUCACCCAUGCAGAGCUAAUAGAAAUGCGUUAGACAACAACUCUAAAUUCCUGCUAUUCAUUUCUCCAGUUUCCUGGUAAUGUCCAUUAUCUCCUAAAUUUUCCUUUAGGUUGCACUAACCAGCUCUCCCUCCUCCUUUUCCUUAACUCAGGAAAAAAAAAAAAAAAAAAAAAAAAAAGGAGGCAGGUAAAGUUAAUAGAGACUCCUACAGUGAUUAGGCUUAGAGAUUUUAAGAUGAUCAAACUGUACCUUCGACUAGCUGAAGAAAUGUUGGUUUUCCUAAUUGUACCAAUGCACUAACAUUUAGUUCCCCAUCAUAUUGUGCUUGCUUUUUUUCUUUUCUCCCCCCAGACAUUUGUGCUAUUUUUCAUAUGCCUGUUAAAUCAUUUUGUGCUCUUGCUUCACAACACAUCAUUGUGUCACUCUCUUCACUAACACAGUGCCGUUAUGUUGCCAGUCAGCUAUGACAUGAUUUAUCCGGGAUUCACUAUGUCAUUGUGCAUGGGCACAGGGGAAGAGCAGCUCUGUUCCCUGCCUGUACACAUGUUGCUCUACCCUGAACUUUGCCUCGGCAGAGUAUUUGCUUGCAUGGCUUUGCACUUCCACUGUGCCUGCGAGGAGCUGAGUGCAUCUGCCAGCGGAGCUGGAGGAAGAAAGGUAUGAGUCCCUUAUCCUGUGCUGAAGAGGACAUUGCUUUGAGGAAGGCCUGAGUGGAGUGAGAACUGAGUUUCCAGCCCACAGCCUGCAGUCACCUUUUAGUCUUUGGACCUAUUCCUUUUCAGUCACAAGACUGGCUUUUCCACACCCAUUACCUCCCAAGCAACAGGCUGCCCUUCCCUGGAAGACUCCCUACUCCUUCCGCUCUCUUCUCCAUCUCACCCACUGCUCACCAUUUCCAUCUAAAUUGUGUUGUUUCACCACAUCCAGCUGAGCUACACAGAUUUUUCUCUUUUCUCAAAUAAAUUGUAGCCAAAGCAGCCAGCUGUUUGGUGCCUGACCAAACAGGCUGACACUGCCACUAACUGGUGUUUGUCUAUGAAGUGGUGAAUUCUUUGUAGUACUUGUGCAAUCUCUUAUAUGUUGUAUUUAUAUUAUGUUAAAUCAUACUGUAUUAAAAAUAAUAUAAAUACACUUAU
rnacentral:lncRNA from 7 species